AAUGAAUGAUGACAAAAUGUUUCGGUCCCAGAGGAUAUAAACUGAUUAUAUCAUUACAUUUAUUCCUCACAUU
ensembl:snoRNA SNORD73 Small nucleolar RNA SNORD73